GCAUGCCGUAACACAUGCAAGUCGAACGAGGACCUUGCGGGUCUAGUGGCGGCACGGGUGCGGUAACGCGUGGGAACCUGCCUUUGAGGGUUCGGAAUAACAGUGAGGAAAUUACUGCUAAUACCGGAUAAUGUCUUCGGACCAAAGAUUUAUCGCGCUUUAGAUGGGCCCGCGUUGGAUUAGGUAGGUGGUGGGGUAAAGGCCUACCAAGGCGACGAUCCAGUA
rnacentral:rRNA from 1 species